rnacentral:tRNA from 1 species
UGGGCCUAUAGUCGAAUGGUAAGACGUCUGCUUGACGUGCAGAAAACUCGGGGUUCGAUUCCUCGUGGGCCCAU